ACCAGACUCCUACGGGAGGCAGCAGUGGGGGAUAUUGCACAAUGGGGGGAACCCUGAUGCAGCGACGCCGCGUGGGUGAAGAAGCGCCUCGGCGCGUAAAGCCCUGUCAGCAGGGAAGAAAAUGACGGUACCUGAAGAAGAAGCCCCGGCUAACUACGUGCCAGCAGCCGCGGUAAUACGUAGGGGGCAAGCGUUAUCCGGAUUUACUGGGUGUAAAGGGGGCGCAGACGGCGAUGCAAGCCAGGAGUGAAAGCCCGGGGCCCAACCCCGGGACUGCUCUUGGAACUGCGUGGCUGGAGUGCAGGAGGGGCAGGCGGAAUUCCUGGUGUAGCGGUGAAAUGCGUAGAUAUCAGGAGGAACACCGGUGGCGAAGGCGGCCUGCUGGACUGCAACUGACGUUGAGGCCCGAAGGCGUGGGGAGCAAACAGGAUUAGAUACCCUAGUA
rnacentral:rRNA from 1 species